GAUGAACGCUGACAGCAUGCUUAACACAUGCAAGUCAACUGUGGCGGACGGGUGAGUGACGCGUAAAGAACUUGCCUCACAGUUAGGGACAACAUUUGGAAACGAAUACUAAUACCUGAUACUGUGAGAGAGCUUUGCGUCCCAUUAGCUAGUUGGAGAGGAAACGGCUCACCAAGGCGAUGAUGGUUAGCCGGACUGAGAGGGUGAUCGGCCACAAGGGGACUGAGACACGGCCCUUACUCCUACGGGAGGCAGCAGUGGGGAGUUAUGGACAAUGGACCAAAGUCUGAUCCAGCAAUUCGGUGUGAAAGAUGAAGUUUUCGGAAGGUAAAGUGCUUUCAGUUGGGAAGCGGUACCAACAGAAGAAGAGACGGCUAAAUACGUGCCAGCAGCCGCGGUAAUAC
rnacentral:rRNA from 1 species